rnacentral:rRNA from 1 species
AAUAGAUACCCCGGUAGUCCACGCCGUAAGCGAUGAGUGCUAAGUGUUAGGGGGUUUCCGCCCCUUAGUGCUGCAGCUAACGCAUUAAGCACUCCGCCUGGGGGAGUACGGUCGCAAGACUGAAACUCAAAGGAAUUGACGGGGGCCCGCACAAGCGGUGGAGCAUGUGGUUUAAUUCGAAGCAACGCGAAGAACCUUACCAGGUCUUGACAUCCCAUUGACCACUAUGGAGACAUAGUCUUCCCUUCGGGGACAACGGUGACAGGUGGUGCAUGGUUGUCGUCAGCUCGUGUCGUGAGAUGUUGGGUUAAGUCCCGCAACGAGCGCAACCCUUGUUCUUAGUUGCCAUCAUUUAGUUGGGCACUCUAAGGAGACUGCCGGUGACAAACCGGAGGAAGGUGGGGAUGACGUCAAAUCAUCAUGCCCCUUAUGACCUGGGCUACACACGUGCUACAAUGGACGGUACAAACGGUUGCCAACCCGCGAGGGGGAGCUAAUCCGAUAAAACCGUUCUCAGUUCGGAUUGUAGGCUGCAACUCGCCUAC